AUUGGUGAGGCGAAUUUUCAUGGGGUUUGCAGUUUGAAAAAAUUCUUCGUUGAGGAUAGAUCGCUAUUUUUUAGGAGUAAUUUUAAAUUCGAACGAGUUCAACGAUUUUUUCGUGAACAGAACAAAACAAAUCGAUCAAAAUGUUCAAGAGCCAUUUGGAAAUGAUUGGGCGCAACGAGAGCCCCAGCAAGAAGGCCAAGUUCUGGCAAUCCUACAUCAGGUCCCUGAAGGGCUCUGAGGAUAUCCGCGCCCACGAGGCGCCAAGGGCUUCUCGUCCCUACAGCUCCUACCUGGAGUCGCCCACAUACAGGAGCAUCUAUGACGAGCCCUCCACCGCCAACGAGCGUGUCCAGUCCUCUGGCUACAGAUAUCUGCCAGUGAGCCGUGACACCUACGGCUACUCGCCACGUGCCAUCUACGAUCAUCACUACAGCCGAACAAUUCCAGCUAACUACGAUGCAGAGAAGGCCUGGAAUGAUCAUCUGAAGCGCAUGCAGGAGAUCGAGCGCAGGUACCCAUCUCGCUAUGGUCUGUACUUGAAGGACAAGCCACUCACCCCCAACGCUCUGGUGCCCCUGGAGUACGAGCCAGAGGACAAGCUUCUGGCGGAGCUCAACAAGGCUCGUCGCUCGGCCUCUCCGUUCCGCCCCAGCCGCACCACCCGCGCUGGCAGCGAGCCGUACGUGCCCCCACCAACCUAUUGGGGCCGCGAGGGCAGCGUGCCCCGCGGACCAUCGGUCUUCGACCGUGCCACCAGCUUGGCUCCGUUCACGCGUCCCAGCUUCCGCGCCAGCUCGCUGGAACCCCUGGAUGAACUCUUUGAAAGUAAGUUGCCCACGAUCGCCGAGGCUGAAUCGGCGGCAGCUGAUGUUGCCGCAGCUGCUGCUGCCCCCAGCCGGUCACUCGGUAUUUUCGAGCGCGCCGGCUCGCCAAGUCCCACUCCCGUCAAAGCCGGUCGCUGGGGACCCCGCCCCACCGAAGUCGCCUACGAUGCUGAGGGACUUCCGAUCUUCCACCCACGCAACCGCUUCAGGGAUCUGCUGAGCCCCAGCCCCAACUUGCCGGUCUCCUCGAUCGUGCGCGAUCCCUUCUGGUGGGACGUGGAUGACCUGGUGCCCUUCCGUGCCACCUCGGUGCCCCGUGCCUCGAGCCCCGUGGCCCGUGAUUCGUACUUGUCGCCGGUGAAGAAUCGCUACUUGUGGUCCAAGCACCCCGCCAGACCCUUGACACCUGAGGAAGAGGAUUUUUUCUAAAAUAAAUCUCUAGAUACAAAAUCACAAAUCGUUUAGCUAUAAUAACAAAGCGACGCUAUAUCAAUCAUAUAGCAAUUCUGUAAUUUUUUUGUACUUAAUUUUACAUAAAUUACAUGUAACGAACUGUAAAAAAAAGCAAAUUGCUCACCGCUCAAUUUUGUAAACGAACGAAACAACGAACUUUUCAACAACAAGAACAUCC
rnacentral:misc_RNA from 1 species